AUGGUGGAAUUUGCCAGCGGUGUGAAAGGAAUCGCCUGAAAUCUUGAGAAUGAGAAUGUAGGUAUUGUUGUCUUUGGUAGUGAUACCGCUAUUAAAGAAGGAGAUCUUGUCAAGCGCACUGGAUCUAUUGUGGAUGUUCCUGCGGGAAAGGCCAUGUUAGGCCAUGUGGUCGACGCCUUGGGAGUACCUAUUGAUGGAAAAGGGGCUCUAAGCGAUCACGAACGAAGACAUGUUGAAGUGAAAGCCCUAGGGAUUAUUGAACGUAAAUUUGUGCACAAACCCUUGCAAACAGGCUUAAAAGCAGUGGAUAGCCUGGUUCCUAUAGGCCGUGGUCAACGAGAACUUAUGAUCGGGGACAGACAAACUGGAAAAACUGCAAUAGCUAUCGAUACUAUAUUAAACCAAAAGCAAAUGAACUCAAGGGGCACAAAUGAGAGUGAGACAUUGUAUUGUGUCUAUGUUGCGAUUGGACAAAAACGCUCGACUGUGGCACAAUUAGUUCAAAUUCUUUCAGAAGUGAAUGCUUUGGAAUAUUCCAUUCUUGUAGAAGCCACCGCUUCGGAUCCUGCUCCUCUGCAAUUUCUGGAACAUCGAGAUUGCAACUCUCAGCCCGGAACGAAAGACAUUCAUUCUUUUCGUAGGAAUGUAAAAAAGGUAUAUUCAACUAUAAUCUAUGUGGAAAUGUAG
rnacentral:rRNA from 1 species